GACGAACGCUGGCGGCGUGCUUAACACAUGCAAGUCGAACGGAAAGGCCCUGCUUUUGUGGGGUGCUCGAGUGGCGCGCGGGUGAGUAACACGUGAGUAACCUGCCCUUGACUUUGGGAUAACUUCAGGAAACUGGGGCUAAUACCGGAUAGGAGCUCCUGCUGCAUGGUGGGGGUUGGAAAGUUUCGGCGGUUGGGGAUGGACUCGCGGCUUACCAGCUUGUUGGUGGGGUAGUGGCUUACCAGGGCUUUGGCAGGUAGCCGGCCUGGGUGGGUGGCCAGCGUCCUGAGGACUACGAGAGGCCCCAGACUGCAACGGGAGGCAGCAGUAGAGAAUCUGACACAGUGAGCGGAAGUGUGUUGCAGCAACGCCGCGUGCGGGAUGCCGGCCUACGGGUUGUGAACCGCUUUCGCCUGUGACGAAGCGUGAGUGACGGUACUGAGUAAAGAAGCACCGGCUAACUACGUG
rnacentral:rRNA from 1 species